GGGGAGCAAUCCCUGAGUAAAGUGGCGACCGGGUGAGUAACACGUGACUAACCUACCUUCGAGUGGGGGAUAACAUCGGGAAACCGAUGCUAAUACCGCAUAACAUCGCAAGAUCAAAGCAGCAAUGCGCUGGAAGAGGGGGUCGCGGCUGAUUAGCUAGUUGGCGGGGUAAUGGCCCACCAAGACGAUGAUCGGUAUCCGGCCUGAGAGGGCGCACGGACACACUGGAACUGAAACACGGUCCAGACUCCUACGGGAGGCAGCAGUGGGGAAUUUUGCGCAAUGGGGGAAACCCUGACGCAGCAACGCCGCGUGGAGGAUGAAAUAUCUUGGUAUGUAAACUCCUUUCGAUGGGGAAGAUUAUGACGGUACCCAUAGAAGAAGCCCCGGCUAACUUCGUGCCAGCAGCCGCGGUAAUACGAGGGGGGCAAGCGUUGUUCGGAUUUAUUGGGCGUAAAGGGUGCGUAGGCGGUUUGGCAAGUCUUAUGUGAAAUCUUCGGGCUCAACCCGAAGCCUGCAUGAGAAACUGCCGGGCUUGAGUAUGGGAGAGGUGAGUGGAAUUUCCGGUGUAGCGGUGAAAUGCGUAGAUAUCGGAAGGAACACCUGUGGCGAAAGCGGCUCACUGGACCAUAACUGACGCUGAUGUACGAAAGCUAAGGGAGCAA
rnacentral:rRNA from 1 species